UACGGAGGGUGCAAACGUUGCUCGGAAUCAUUGGGCGUAAAGCGCACGUAGGCGGCCUGUUAAGUCGGGUGUGAAAUCCCUGGGCUCAACCCAGGAAGUGCACUCGAAACUGGCAGGCUAGAGUCCGGAAGAGGCGAGUGGAAUUCCUGGUGUAGCGGUGGAAUGCGCAGAUAUCAGGAGGAACACCAAUAGCGAAGGCAGCUCGCUGGGACGGUACUGACGCUAAGGCGCGAAAGCGUGGGGAGCGAACAGG
rnacentral:rRNA from 1 species